AAGUCGUAACAAGGUUUCCGUAGGUGAACCUGCGGAAGGAUCAUUACAGAACAAAUUUGGUAGACUGUUGCUGGCUCUCUUGGGAGCAUAUGUGCACGUUUAUCAUUUUUAUAUUUCCACCUGUGCAUCUUUGUAGAUCUGGGAUUCAUUUAUGGCUUUUAUUGCUGUGUUAGAGAGAACUGCUGCUAGGCUUUUCUUCAUAUCCCAGUUCUAUGUUCUUACAUUUACCCUAUGUAUGUUAAAGAAUGCUUCAUUAGGUCUUAAAAAAACCUAUAUAAACUAUAUACAACUUUCAGCAACGGAUCUCUUGGCUCUC
rnacentral:misc_RNA from 1 species